GCCAAGGUGGCUGUGAGUAAUACCACAACGGCCACACAAACAUCAAAUGAGGAGGAACUCCAUGCCCACGAACUAUUCAGCGGCUGCUUUAUAAAUUCUGCAAGGCUUCUCCUUUCUCAAUUCACUUCUCUCUCCGAGCUCCUGAAGACUCCUCCGAUCGGAUCUCCCAGUCCAGGUUCCUUGAAGUCCUCCAGGAUGAGCUACCAGAAUCAGCAGGGCAAUCAAAACACCUUUUACCCCCCAAAUAUGCCAUGGUGCCCACCUCAACAGUAUGGCGGCCAACCUCCGCAGUAUGGUGGCCCAGGUCAGCAGCCUGGCGGUCCACCUCAGAUGUAUGGCGGCCAACCUCAGAUGUAUGGUGGGCCACCUCAGAUGUAUGGCGGCCAACCUCAGAUGUAUGGCGGCCAACCUCAGCCGGGCUACCGCCCAUGUUAACCGUGCUGCCCCCUGCUCAGCAACGCUACCGCAAGUAGAAGGACCAAAAUUCUGUUGAAGAAGCUAUUGAAGGCAACAUCCGGAAGUAGAAAUGAGAAGGAGAAGGUACAUCGCUCAGCUUCCAACCUCAACCCAACAGGGAAGCCCACCAAGAAAACAAGACCUAGGAAUUGAUGCUGUCCACGAAACUCCGGGGUGGCUUAUUCCAUUGGCUUCUGAAAGGCCAACUCCACCACUGACAGCCCACGUGGAUGGAGAACUCGGCAGCCAAAACCAUCAUGAGAACUUCCAAGAAGAACCGGUCUCCUGAUCCUUAAUCAUGUCAUCGUCUUCUCCUGCCUUCCCCCUUCUGGUGUUUUGCCCUGCGCUCUGCUUGUCCCCUGGCAAAAUGUUAUUAAAAAGCAUGAAUUAGCCGGCA